rnacentral:rRNA from 1 species
UACGAAGGGGGCUAGCGUUGCUCGGAAUCACUGGGCGUAAAGGGUGCGUAGGUGGCGCUGUAAGUCGGGUGUGAAAUUUCGGAGCUUAACUCCGAAACUGCAUUCGGUACUGCGGUGCUUGAGGACUGGAGAGGAGACUGGAAUUCAUGGUGUAGCAGUGAAAUGCGUAGAGAUCAUGAGGAAGACCAGUGGCGAAGGCGGGUCUCUGGACAGUUCCUGACACUGAGGCACGAAGGCCAGGGGAGCAAACGGG